CUGGUUAUAAGCUUCUGAACAAUGAUAAGGAUGGUGCCAUUUGACAUUCGGUUAAGGGAUGGAGCAGGAAGGCUUGAGAUACACAACCCAUAUCUUUAAGGCACUUUCCAUCUGGUAGAGAAACGGAAAUGUAUGCACAUAGCGGCACAUGCGAUGGCAACAGAACCCAGGGCCUGUACCAGGCCUACUAAAGAGUGAGCUGAUGCGGCUGAGAGUUUUGGAAUGUGAGGCUGGGAUGACAAGCCUGGGGCCUGGCUCUUCUGUGCUCAGUGAGGACUGCUCCAGCCUCAGCCCCAACUCCCAGCAAAGCCCAGGUGUGGGGAGCAGGGGAGGUAAGACAGAGAUGAGGAGGGACAGAAAUGUGGUUUCACACCUGACCCAGCAAUUCCUGCAGCUGGGAAGCAUGGCGACUCAGAAUGCCGAUGCCUGCCAGAGGCUUCGGCUUCUUGUCCUGCGUUUUGGAGACCAUAUCUGGAGAGGCACAGUGUGAGGGGCAUGGGGAGGCAGGAGUAGGACUGCAGCAGAAAGGGGUUUUGCAACCAGCCUCUGGCUGGUCAGCACAGGAGUGUCAGGUUCUUUACUGUGGGGCUGCUGGGGAUGAGAGAGGCAGGAAGAACCCCUGUGAAGAACAGUGAGAAGGGUAGGGGCCAGGGGCCUGCAGGGUGAUGGCAGGCUUUGAAGUGUGUGAAACGCUGCCACAGCUGAGGCCCAGCUAUACCCAGGAGGGAGCAAGCAGCCUGAUGCCUGAGCUGGCCUGGCCCAUUCACCUCUUGUGGCCCAACCUGAGAACCUUCUUACUGUGGGUGAGCUGGGCCUUGUCUAGCCCCUGCCUCUGCACCCCCAUCACUGGCCUCAAAAGCACAGGUUCUCUCUUUUCCUGCACGGUGGGGAGGCAGAGAGUGGUGCAGGCUGGGUGUGCGGGUCUGUGUGUCAGGGGGUUAUUGGUGAGAAUCUGGGGAGAGGCGCCUGGAUAGCUCUGAUUCUACCCACCUAGGAGGUCUGAGACCCUCCCAACUCCUCCCCGACUCCCAGCCUCAGUGUUGUUGCUGAAACCCUCUUGAGCUGAUGGUGCCUACGUGGGGUCAAAUGCAUUCUUCUCACCAGCCUUGGCCCCAGCGUGUCAUGUAACCUUGUGUUAGUCACUCAACCUCUUUGGCCUUGUGCUUCCGUGUCUGUAAAAUGAGAAGUUGCCUCCGUCCACACCUUUGCCCCUCCCCACCGCCAACCCACACUUGCCCCAGACAGAGCUGGCAACAAAAGCAGACUGCGGAGUGGGAGGGACUGCCAUGGCAUGGACCUGGAAGGAGGAGAGAGGCAAUGCCUGCGGCCAGACCUUCGCUCCCCUCAGAGCAGCCCUGAAAAUAUUCCCGGCUGGUCUUUGCCUCUCCACGGUCACAGCAGCCUCGUGAUGAAGUUGGCAGGGGGAAUUCUACAGAGAGGACAGAACUUCCUUCCAUCUUCUCCUGCCCCUAGCUGCUGCCUGGGAUCCACUCAUCCCCUUCUUCUCUCCUUGGCCUCACUCUGCAGUGGGGGGGACUCACUGACUCCAGGGUUCAGCCACUGUCCGCAUGCUAAUGAGCUAAGGAGUCCCAAACCUCCACCACCAGCCCAGCACUCAACCUCAUGGGCCCCAGUGCUGGGCCCCAGGGCGGGAAGGGAUGUGGUCUUCCCCCUGAACACAGUGCAUGGUGCCUCCUGGGGCUGCACAGGGAGGAGGCCUUGCCCGGACCUCUCUCCUGGGAACCAGGAACCUCUGGCCAACUGCCUACAGGACAUCUCCACCUGGAUGUCCUACAGGCCCUCAAACUCAACCUGACACCCGCCCAAGCACCUCAGCUCCUUUCCCUUUUCAUAAUGGGAUCAUUCUCCCAGGGACUCAGUCUUCACACCUUUGCCCUUUUUGAUGCCCCUUCUGCCUUUCUCUCACUUCUACUGUCUUCCCAAGUCCUGUCGGUCCUGUCCCAUGCUGUCCCUUUUCUCCAUCUUUUCUGCCCCUGGAUCACUUGUCUUAUUUUCUAGUGAUCAAACAUGUUUACAGCAUGUGUUAGAUGGUUGGCUCUGCUCUAAGUGCCUUACAAAUCCUAACUCUCCUCAUUCUCACAACCUUCAGUUUACAGAGGAUGAAACUGAGGCACAGAGAAGUCAAGCAUCUUGUGUAGGGCCAGGAUUGGGACCCACGCAGCCUGCUCCAGAGCCGGGCUCUGACCCCCCACAAGAGCCAUCACUAAAGUUCCACUUACCGCUGCACCUUCAAUCUCUUCCUCUCUCCAUCCCUCCCACAUGUUCACAGACAAAAUCUUCUUCCUUAUUUAAUAAAACAAUAUAAUGACCAGCCUGGCAAA